rnacentral:lncRNA from 1 species
AAAUAACUAUUCUGGUUAAAUUGGAUUAUUCUAAUGAAAAUUUUGUUAAAUGUGGAUUGAGAUUUAUCUUAAUAAGUUAAGGAUAGUGAUAAAUUAUUUAUUUCUUAUUAGUUAAGAAACAUAUCUUCUAAUGAAAAUUUUGUGUGACACCCUAAUAAUCCCACAUCGGAUGGGAAUGGGAUUGUCAUUGGGUUUAUAAGAGACUUAGACACUAGUAAUAAUAACUGGGCUUAAGCAUUUUGGGCUGGUGGUUUGGGCCCAACGAGUUAUUGUUGCUAGUGGGCUGGGUCGUUACAUUUUGAUAAAUAUCAUAAUCCUAAUCUUUUUUCUAGAGAUAGCAUGCUAUCCGCUUUGUUUAUUUUAUUUAGAAACAAACUUAGCUGAAAAUGUGAAUCAACUAGGAUUCGAACUUGGGACCUUGGGUACCAACCACCAAAUAUAAGGACUGAGAUUUUUGCAGUGUUACUAAACUCUCUGUUGACGAUGUUUUAUGUGUAAUUUAAUUACAUAAGGACUCGUCAAGUUUUAGCAGAAAAU